rnacentral:misc_RNA from 1 species
UCCGUUUGGAAAUCUGAGCGCUUGCGUCGGCAUGAGGGGAAGCCUUGACAAGAGUAGCGACGUGAGUCAGUUUGGAGGCCGUACGCAAGCUGUGUACUUCGUGAAAGAUAGCUCUUCGGAGCAGCGGUGCCUUGUGGCGGAGCGCUGGCAGAAGUUUCCCCGCCGCACGUUUCCUCGGGAAUACUCGUUUGACGUCGCAAACUCAACGUUUCAACUGCACGGCACCAGCGGUACUACGAGUGAGUGCACGACAUUACAGCGUGUGUUCGGAGUGGUCAGUGACAUGAGUGCGGCGACCUCGGCACCGGCUGCCUCACUCGAAUCUACAGAGGAUGUUGCACGCAGAGAAUUAGGAGAAACGCCAGCGGUCCAAACAGACGGCUCUCCAUGAAUUGCGACAGCUCCUUAUUUCAGGUGCCUGGAAUACUGACAUCUGCAAGCUGACUGACUUCUUCAGAGUGGGCAUAGUAGUCUUCGAGCACGUCC